CCACUGUAUUUUCCACUGAAUGCAUCCGAUGAAGUGAGCUGUAGCUCAUGAAAGCUUAUGCUCAAAUAAAUUUGUUAGUCUCGAAGGUGCCACAAGUACUCCUUUUCUUUUUUCAAAGAGGAUACAGUAUAUUAAAACAAGACACUGAUGGUUGCAGCCUCAUUGGUCAAGACUGUUUUCAGUUCAAACAAUCUUGACCAGUGAUGCUGCAGCCAUCAGCAACGGCCUUGGUUGCUUCGGGGUUUCAGAGACUUUGGGACAUGGUUGUUCAUGGAACUGAAAUAAUGACCCUGCAAUUUCCUUAUUUUAGCAGAUAACUUCAGCUGUUUAGAGAAAGUUUAAACAUCUGGGAUCUAAACUAACAGUGAUGCACUGAAAAAUAGAACAUGCUGAACUCAUAGUGGAAGGCCAUGUUAAAUGAAUCCUGGGAGAGGGUGUCCCUGAUCUGUAUGUGAGAAUGGGGAGAAGGAAGAACAAAGUUUGGAUUAGAUUUUUGGGAAACAUGCAUUAAUAAUCCUGGAUGCCAGAAAUAAAUCUGCCCACAAAUUAUAUUAAUUUGUGUACAGUGCCUUUCCCCACUAAGGACCAAACCCGACCCUUGAGUGACGUUCCACAGGCAGCUAAUGGUAGAAGGAGGUGCUGACAUGACUUUAUUACAAUCACACCUUUAGGAGCCAGAGUAGGGGCAGAAGACCACAGCAUGGAUGGUCCUCUGUCUCUAAAAGGUCCCCUGAGAUCUGGGCAGAUGUGGGAGGAAGACAGGAGGUUAUUUUUCCUAGGGAACCUCAUGCCACGGGUUUUUCAAUGUGAAGGGGUGAUCUAGAUUUGAGUUACUUAAGAACAGUAAGCAUCGACAACCCCUGUGGUCUUUUGAAAAUAAAGUGUAAAAGCAAGAGAAGUACAAGUUAACUAACCAACAUACGCAAAAAGAAAAGGAGUACUUGUGGCACCUUAGAGACUAACAAAUUUAUUUGAGCAUAAGCUUUCAAAAACAUAAAAAACACUGCAUGUUUAUAGGUUGUUUGAUCUGAAGUGUGAUUAGGCAGAGUGUAGCUGUUAAGAAAUUAAAAAUAAAAACUCUUGCAAGUGGCUAGAAGUAUUAUAGUUUCGAAGUCAUUGCACAACUGUUUUUAGGUACAUAUCUGUCACCUAGUCCCAGUACGGGUAAUCCUCCAAUGAAUUACAGUUAAUCGUUGGUUAGCAAAAAGCCUGCUGAAGCUACCCUUUUUCCUUAAUGGGUGUGUUCCCUGCUGUUAGCCAGUUGGCAUUUUGUGCUACAGAGCAUCUACUGUAUGCAUGAGAGUAGAGCUAGUGUUUUCUUUCCCUGAACUUCAAGGACAAUAGACAAGGUGGAACAGAUUGUUUAGCACAUAUUUCAAGGGACCGUGCAAGGUGAAGUGACAUUUGACCAUCUGACAUAUGAGAGAUAAGAUGCCUCAAGAUCCUCCAGGUUUGGGGUGAACACCACAACAAAUCCCUUGGGCGCAGGCAAAAACACACGCAUGCGCACCCUCUCCCCCCAUUGGAAUGAUUGGUGAGGAACUCUAUGAAGUGAACCUUGCCAAGAUUAUCUCUCAGAUUUUUCUAUGGGAAGAGAUGAACUGGGUCAGGAAAUCUUAAGCUAAAUUCACAAGUGACUCUAAGUUAUAUGACCUACAUGCUCUUCUGGACAUCUUCAGUGUGUAAAUUAUACCAACUUUGAUUCCCACUUACCAGCAUGUAACUUAUACCCCUUUACAUAUUACUUCUGAAUUUGGCCUAAAGAGUUUAAGUGAACUAAAUUGAUGUAACUUACCCAGAGAGAGGCCGGAAGAGAGGAGGUGUAGCAGAAAAUGCAAUUAACAAGAGGAUAUAAGAUGUUAAUUUACACUUUCUGGCACCAUCUUCAACUUCCUUUGACACCUUUACACCCACUUGCAGACAUGUAAUUUACACCUCCUCUCAUUUAACCUCCAAAUAUGACUUUCUAGGGGACAUCCUGACUCCAUUGACGUCAAUGGCAAAAUUCCUGUGGACUUCAACAGGGGCCGGAUUUCAUCCCUUGCCUUUAAUUGUGCCCAUUAAACAGUACAAAAUAAUAUUACGAAUAUUGAUUAGCUUGGAGGGCAAUAGUAGUAAAAUAAUUCUCAGGAUUGUGAAAUAUGGUAAAAUUGAAUGAAUUAUUUUAAAUUAAGGGCUAUAUUUUUAGAAAAUUAAUAAAAUCUGGGGAUAUAACUACUCGUUGUUUUACUAUCACCUUUGCUUUCUAUUCACUACAGUCUUUGUAUCCAUAAGAGUGUAAAUGCAUAAAGAUCCAUACACAGAAAAAAACCCUGUAUGUGCUGAUAUUCUUGCUGCCUUAGGAGUUCAGUGCAUAAAAAUGGUUCAUGCUGACCAGCUGUUUCAACGUCUCUUGCUCAAGAGGAGCAGUUACUGCAGGUUCCAGAGCAUAUAUAAUUGUAAGUAAUAUUAUAAAGUUCAAAGAACUAAGCCAAAAAAAAAGUAUAUUAAAGAAAGCAGCAAAUCAUUUGAGUGAAAGAACUGUGAUUCAAAGUAUUAAUCAAAAUAGUUCCCUGCAUCUGGAGAUAUUUGUGGGAACUGCACUGGAAAAACAUUUGUUCUGUAACAUACUCUAGCUAAGUGAAAACUCAAGGAAUAGAUGUUCACAUUGUAGCUGAGGCAAACAUAAAUGAGGCAAUGUUUAUUGGAGCAGUUGAGUGUGAAGAAAAAACAAAAGUUGCACAAUAAGUGCACAGAAUGAAGAAGGAAAAUUUGCAUGAUACUAUUUACACAGCAGCAGCCAUCUUAGGUUAAUGGAUCAUUCAUAACCUUUACAUUGCACAGAAGUGCAAAAGCAAAUUUGACAACUGUGAAUGACUUUCAAAGCCUGAAGUACAGAUAAAAGGCAAAAAAUAAGCUUGUACUGUAGGCAUGUAUUAGUUGAGCCAAUGAAACAAAAAGAGGUGCACAGAAUGGACCAAAACUAUUAGUGAUCUAACACCAGAGCAACUUACGGUACUACCCUACUCAGAAAAUAAUGAGAAAGUAAAAUUAGAGUAAAAGAAAUCUACCUUCCUCUGAUUUUGUGUGUUACUCACAGAUGCUAAUUUAUUCAAAAUCUCUCUUCAAUAUGAAGGCCUCAUGUAGUGCACAUUUCAUUAGGGUUCUGCAAAACAGCAGAACUUUAGUGAGGUAUCUGUAUUUCACUGAAUAGUUUGAUAACCACAGUAAAGGACUGAAGUAUUUUCAAAGGCUCCAAAUUAAUGAGCACAUGUGCAGCUAAUUCAAAUAACACUGUACCACCUGAGAUUUUGACCUACUACUGCCAGUGCCACUGAAAGCAGAAACAUGUUUUACUGUUUAUUGUUAAUAUCAGACAGAAUAAUCUCUGGAAGGCGGUGAAGCAUGUGAAAAUGUGCCAAAUUAAAGAGUGCAUAAACAUAUAGACACAAGCUGUGACACUUAGCCAGCUAUGAAUGCCUCCACAGCUACGAAAAUACUACCAGCAUCCCCCAUACAUAUUAUUGAGCAGGAGGAAUGACAAGAUGGAGCCCUGUGGAAUACUAAAUAAAAACUCCUUUGGGAAAAAUGAUUCACAAAACUACCCUCAGAGAGAAAGAGAUAAAUCACCUGUGGACAUCUCCUUCCACUCCUCCAAGAGUUCACAGGUGAAUCAGAUACCUCAUGGUCAACAGUACAGAAGGCAGCAAAUUGAUCUGAUAAUAUCAUAAUGGAUACCUGAUAUUCAUCCAUUGUCAGGAAGAAAUCAUCAACUAAGGCAACAAGUACAGUCUUCCUACCCUUUUAUCUGACCCUGAUCUGUGUACAGCCUGACAAGGCUCAAGGAGAUUUGAAGCAUCUAGUUAGAGUUGUCUCACUUCAAUCCUCUGAAUGAUGUUAACUUUUUAAUCCCUGACCACUGAAAUAAGGCAGAGAGACAGCUUGUCUAACAACAUUAUGUUCUGGGAAAUAUUGGUUAGAGCCAAUAUUUUCUAGUGCAUUGGUACAUCAGUCAUACCAACUAAGAAAAGUAAAACAGGUAUUAAAAUAUCAAGAAGUUUGAAUUUCUACUACAGUAAUUAUUGAUGAGUCAUUUGUUGAAGCCUCUGUACUUUGCAAAAUAGUUUGUAAACGUAUUCCAAUGAAGUGAAAAUUUAGUAGUAACCUUAAAGAGAUUAAGAGCUAUAAAAAGGUUGUCACGGCAGCAACAAUUAACAGAAAGACAAGAAGCUGUUGUUUUGUGCAGCACAUCUCUGUGAUACUGUUUCAUUGUUAUUGUGUGUUAAAGCUUUAUGUGAAUAUUGGCCAGCCUAGUUAAAGCCUUGUGAAAUAUCUGACUCUCUAGCAUUGUGGACUGUCUAGAAUAUUACUGGCAGACAAUCCCUAGAGUGGUAGAUAUUGGAAGGAAUGCUUUCUAUUGCUCAACAGUAACCUCUCUUAUUAAGGAAAUCCCAUUGAGUCAAGGUCACAAGUAUCCCAAGCAGACCUGCUCCAUACACGCACAGUACUAUAACCUAAAAUGUACCCAAUAGUAAUUAUUAGCUAAACCACAGAAAGGAGCUCUAGAAAAAUAAUCACUACAGGGACUUACUUGAGAAUUUAUCCAUCGUUCUUCCCCUAAAUGUCACUCAAGAGACAAAUGACAAACACAUAAGAGAUUUGCACACGGCCAGGGAAUGAGAAUGAGACUAUGUAGGGCAAUGUAGUAAGUUAUCCUCAGUACUCUGUACUCAAAGCUACUUUAGAAGCAUCCUAUUUAUUAAGACUUCUUCCUUUCUUUCAGUGAGGAGACAAACUACAAGACUAGGAGGAAAAGUCUUUGAGAAAGAUUAGGGAUGGAUGAACCAAGGUUCCCGAACAGGUCUUCCAAUCUGAGAUAUUCUAACUUGUCUUCACUGCAAAGUUAACUCAGGUUUUUACUUGAGUGUUGCCCUUAAUUCAUGUCUCACCCCCACACAAAAUCCCUUAACUCAAGUGUGGUGGUGUUUUUAAUUUAAGUUGUUUGGCACAUCAGGGGGUAUAGACUGAAGUUCAAGUUAGGAUAACUCAUCAGCUGCUAACAUGUCCACUUUUUGGAAUAAAUGUAGGCUAACUCUACUCAAGUCCUCCAAUGCCUUCUCAUAAUCCUCCCCCUCCCCCCCAUGUGAACAGAAAGGAUAGACAAGUUCUCCCGCAAUUCACAGGGGAAGAAUGCAUAGAGCAGCUCAGCUUACUGAAGUGCAAAGUACCAUGGGAUAUGCCCCCAGAAGCCCUAGUGCCACACAUGCUUGAGUGCAGCACCACUGUGUACAUAGCAGCUUAAGUGAAAAAUGCAGCAUGGCCACUAUCAUUCAAGUUAGGCUAAAUUGAAAGAAGUAACCCAAGUGUCAAUAACUUGGGUUAACUCUCUAAUGAGGGCAUGCCCGACAAGAAAACAUGGUGAGUAGUCAAGGUAUGCCACAAGGAUGCAUUUCCUAAAAUUUAAACGGAAGAGGAGGAGUCAGCUGGAGAGAAGGAUUCAUCUGAGAGUUGUUUGCUUGUUGCUGAAGGCCAGGGAGGUGUCACAGUGGGAUUGUGUUUUGAGAUAAGGGACUCAAAGAUAGACCUUCUUGGAGAGUGGUGGGAGGGGGAGCAAUAAUGUUGUACGGUGAAAUCCUCACUACUUUGAACUCAAUGGGAAUUUUGCCAUUGACUUCAGUGGAGCCACAAUUUCACCCCUGGUGUUCAUUAAUCCUAAAAAGACCUAGAAAGGGCAUAUUCUUCCAAAUACAAGACCAAGAGGAAAAGUCUGUCAGAAAGAUAAGGAAUGGAUGAACCAAGAUUCCCUGAGACACGUUUAACAUGGCAUAAAUGUGGAAGGAAUAAGAACUGAGUUUAUUUCUUAUUAAAGGGCGAAAUUCUGUCCACUGAUCUGAUGUUGUUCAAAGUACAAGUCAGGACAGAAUUUGGCUCUGUAGCAUUUAGACAGUUCGAAGGGCAUAGCUGUGUUUUUCUAUAUUUAAAACUAGGUUUUAGGUAUACAUGUUGCUCCUUAUUUUAAUACUUAAAAAGUAUUCUGUAUUCUUGGGAUUUUAAUGCUUUUAUUUUAGUUCUCAGACAAUAUAACAAAGUAUGGCUACAAUUAGAAAAAAAGAGCACUCUGAGAAAUAGUAGAGUCAGCAAUCAAACAGUUCCCACAUUUUAUACUUUUCCUUGCAUAUGGCUAAAGGGGUCUUUUAAUGAGAAAAGUUCACUUUAUAGAUACAGAGAGAACUUAAUUAAACGUGAGCCUUUCAGUGUAACUGGUAGGAAGUUGUCAAGUGUUAUAAGAUUUGGGAUAAAGAAUCCUUUACAUAAGAGGGGUCGUAUGAUUUUCAGUCUGCCCUGAACAAACUGAAACUCAAAGAGUGAGCAGAGGCUGUAUAAACUAUUAUCAAAACCUACUUAGAAUCUGUCUCAUCACAGAUGGAUUCUCCUGUUGAAGAGAUUCCCUGAUACAUGCACACAUUCCAUAGAUGCCUUCUUUUAAGCAAUAAUGCAGAUUGUAAUUGAAUUUCAUGAGAUAAUGGACCAUAUUGUGAGUUAUUCGUUCUAGGCCUGGAGCAAUGAUUCCUCCAGAUCAAUUUCCUCCUGUUAGGCCCAGAAUAAAAGGAAAAUAAUUAACCUGAUAUGUUGUCAUAAAUAUAACGGGAAGGGAAACCACCUUUCUGUAUACACUGCUAUAAAAUCCCUCCUGGCCAGAGGCAACAUCUUACCA